rnacentral:rRNA from 1 species
GACGAACGCUGGCGGCGUGCUUAACACAUGCAAGUCGAACGGAAAGGCCUGCUUUCCCUUGUGGAUUGCGGGUACUCGAGUGGCGAACGGGUGAGUAACACGUGAGUGAUCUGCCCCCAACUUGGGUAUAAGCCUGGGAAACUGGGUCUAAUUCCCGAUAGGACUGCAGGGUGGUGCCUGUGGUGGAAAACGAUUUUCUAGUGGUUGGGGAUGAGCUGGCGGCCUAUCAGCUUGUUGGUGGGGUAAUGGCCUACCAAGGCGGCGACGGGUAGCCGGCCUGAGAGGGUGGACGGCCACAUUGGGACUGAGAUACGGCCCAGACUCCUACGGGAGGCAGCAGUGGGGAAUAUUGCACAGUGGGCGGAAGCCUGAUGCAGCGACGCCGCGUGGGGGAUGACGGCCUUCGGGUUGUAAACUCCUUUCGACCGCGAGGAAGCCACCUGGUUGGAAGGGUGGUGACGGUAGUGGUAGAAGAAGCACCGGCUAACUACGUG